AGUGAACGCUGGCGGUAGGCCUAACACAUGCAAGUCGAACGGCAGCACAGUAAGAGCUUGCUCUUACGGGUGGCGAGUGGCGGACGGGUGAGGAGUACAUCGGAAUCUACUUUUUCGUGGGGGAUAACGUAGGGAAACUUACGCUAAUACCGCAUACGACCUACGGGUGAAAGCAGGGGAUCUUCGGACCUUGCGCGAUUAAAUGAGCCGAUGUCGGAUUAGCUAGUUGGCGGGGUAAGGGCCCACCAAGGCGACGAUCCGUAGCUGGUCUGAGAGGAUGAUCAGCCACACUGGAACUGAGACACGGUCCAGACUCCUACGGGAGGCAGCAGUGGGGAAUAUUGGACAAUGGGCGCAAGCCUGAUCCAGCCAUACCGCGUGGGUGAAGAAGGCCUUCGGGUUGUAAAGCCCUUUUGUUGGGAAAGAAAAGCAGCAGGUUAAUACCCCGCUGUUCUGACGGUACCCAAAGAAUAAGCACCGGCUAACUUCGUG
rnacentral:rRNA from 1 species